UUUUACUAAACCGUCUGUUUUCAGUGUAUAUAAAUAUACUAAAACCCUAAAAACGCAGAACGCCUUCAUUUGUAUGGGGAAAAAAAUGCAACUUUUCCUUUAAUAAAUGUACAAAAUACGAUGUAAAAGUCUAUACAUUAGUGCAUGAUGUUCGACACAAUCAGUGUUUGUGUGUGUGAUUCCACAAAAGACUUCUUCUGCGUUGAACAGGACUCGUCAUUAACUGGCUUAUCUGCAUUUCCCGAGUCAGCUUGUGACCAGACACAAUGACCUCUGACCCCUGGCCCGGGCCGAGAGCCAAACUCAGCCCUCGCACAGAUGUGUGUAUUGUCCAGCGCAGCGGUGCCUUGGAGUUCUUUCAGCUAAUGACGUGCGUGAGUGGGUGUGUGUGUGUGUUCACAAUACUGUAGAUUUCAUCCCUUCACAUUGAUUCUCGUAAACACACGUUACUGGACCAGAGAUACUGUAAGUGCACCUAAAUAUUCUUUCUGUUAUGAAACACGUUGACUGGUCUAAUGUAAGACUGAUUCAUGCUUGUACUUAAGACUGUGUUUAUGCAACUGACCCACAUGUUGUUUGUUAUGGAUAUGGCAGGCGAUUCUCAAAACCAUCACUAGCUGUGAUCGAGUGCAUUAGAGCAAGUGAGUUGUGUGUUUAUUUCCUGUUCUGCUGAGCAAAGGUCACCUUUCAAGACGGCAGUGCUGCUUUGCAUUUGUUUUGUUGCACUUUUUAAGAUGCAUACGUGUUCAAGUCAGUUUUUUACAUGGGAAUCAGGUUAAGAAAUGUGACAUGUGUACAGCUUGAAUUCUGCAUGUUUCUCUCCCAAUAGAUUGCGAUAUUUGCAAGCAAACAGCGGUCCCCAGAGAUGCAUUGGUGCAGGUGGACGGGCGGCUGGACGUCUCACGUUCACACACAGUCCACAGGCCAAGAAGAUGAAGAUCGCUGUGACUUUCUGUUCAAGAUCAUCCUGAUCGGCGACAGCAACGUGGGGAAGACCUGCGUGAUCCACAGCUUCAAGUCUGGGGUGUUCAGUGACAACCAGCACAACACUAUUGGAGUGGACUUCACCGUUCGCAGCAUGGACAUCGAUGGGAAGAAAGUAAAGAUGCAGGUCUGGGACACGGCGGGACAGGAGCGUUUCCGCACCAUCACACAGAGUUACUACCGAAGCGCCCACGGUGCCAUGAUCGCGUACGACCUGACCCGGCGACCCACCUUUGAGUCUCUACCGCACUGGAUACAAGGAGUGGAGCAGUACGGAGCCGCCAACGUCGUCUUCGUUCUGAUAGGAAAUAAGUGUGACCUGGAGGCGCAGCGGCAGGUGCUGUUUGAGGACGCGUGCACGCUGGCGGAGCGGACCGGGGCGCUGGCCGCGCUCGAGACCUCCGCAAAACACUAUCGAAAUAUCGAGGAAGCCUUCGAACUGAUGGCCCGCGAACUCAUAGUCCGACACGGAGGAACAGUCCAUCAGGACAACCAAUCAGAUUUACCCACAGUUUUCUUGCACUUGGAUUCUCAUUCAAUAGAUGGAGAACAUAAGAAGAGGUCAUGUGACUGCUGACUUUAUACGUUAGGUGGACUAAGAUGAUAAAACACAGUGGGAUGUGACAAAAAAAUGAAUCAGACAUCUCAGAAAAGGCAGUUGCAUUUAAUGAACAAACUCUGUAAACUUAUACAAUUAUGAUGUUUUUCUUGUUCUGUUUUUCUGCACUUUUAUUUUGCAGCAGGUUGUGUACAGUACAAUAAAAUGCAAAAACAGUGAGUCAGUAAAUGCAUUCUUUGUUCUUUCUGAACAUAAAACAAUAUAUUUAAAGGACACAAUGUUACUUGAGGGAUUUGUGUGUUAAAUUAUUUAAAACCAACAAUAAACAAUGACUGCUCAGUUCAAAAAUAUCUAGACAGAACAUUUAAAAAAAAAA